CACCGCGGUCAUACGAUUAACCCAAACUAAUUAUUUUCGGCGUAAAACGUGCCAACUAUAAAUCUCACAAUAGAAUUAAAACCCAACUUAUAUGUGAAAAUUCAUUGUUAGGACUAAAGACCGAUAACGAAAGUAAUUCUAAUCAUUUAUAUAACGCACGAUAGCUAAGAUC
rnacentral:rRNA from 1 species